UCAGACUGCGAGAUGAGGGCCGUGAGGGUGCCUUUGGCUGCAGGUAGCAGCCCCUGCGUCCGGCGGGCUAAGUGAGAUGAGGGGUGCAUCGUCUCACUGCAAGCCCAGAGCAGCUCCUGGUGUCAAGAACGCAGCCUUUUCUCUUCUCGCCGGUCCUCGGCUGGCCCCUCUUACGGCCUCACGACUGCUGUCUCCCUCCUUGAGGUUGAAAGGUGCUGCCAGUGGCAAUGGGGGCGCCUGCUCGCUUGUGAAUGUCCCGCAGGAGACAGCAAGGACCUCUCUCCCAGCGGGGAUGGAAUGCCACGUGCUGAUUGGCUUAGAUUAAUCGGGAUCUAGUGCUAAACCUGCGAGCGGGGAGAACAUCCAAACGGAACUGGGCUUCUAUGAAGAAGGGAGAGAAGACUAGAUGCUGGGCGGGCAGCCACCGCGUGCACACGGUGCUGAGCCUGCGACCCCCUCAGCCUACAGACGCCUGCACAGCCUGGGGUCGGCAGGACAGGCCUCACCUCCAGACCACCAGCGAGGACUCUGAGGAACAAAGAAGUGGAGUGAGUCACGUGACUCACAUAGCAGGUGAGGAAAUCGAGAUUCAGAUGUGGAAAGAGACUAACCCAAGGUAAGGGAUGGAGCCAGGACCUUAACCCAGGUCUUCAGACUCCGAACCUCCCACCCGGGGAGCUUCACAAGCAGCACAGCCCAAGUGUGAGAAAGCCCCUGGAUCCGAGGUGCGGUGGCAGGGCCUGCCGGGGUGGGGGUGGGGCGGUGCUUGCUGCAGAGUAAAAUAUGCGAGGAGACCAGAGGAUGGGAGGCAGUGCUGCGUGCCCAUGUGGCAGGCACGUAGGCAGCUGUCAUCACCCCACUCUACAGAUGAGGAAAUGGGGCUCCACACGGUGUUGUCCUUUCGCCCCCAGACCCGUGCUGCUCUGUGCCUGGGAGGCUGCCUCCUGCCCAUGCCUCCCUUGCCGUUAGGUUUGGCCAGGGGGCACUGCGGCAGGCAGUCAGCGAGAGGCAGAGAGGGGUGGGAGCAUCCCCUGCUCCUCCCUGCCUGGCCCUGGUCUGGCAGCUGCCACGUGCUGAGGUCACAGGUCGGGUGGCCCCAGCACCAGCCUGGCUCUCCCUGCAGGCCUAGGGGUGCUAAGAGCUCCCGCUGUUGCUGGUGUCUGGGCGCUGCCCCACCCCGGGUCGAUGCCCACUCCUGCCCACAGCUGCAUAGUCCUCUAAGUCAGUCCCUGAGUGACCCCCGUCUGCUGCUGGAGUCCUGCCGCUGCAGGCACCGCGGCUGGGACUCUGAGCCCCACCUUUCCUGGCCUCCCUGCCUGGCUCCCUGUCCUUAGUAGGCAGCCUCACCCCCACCCCAUCCACAGCCGCCUGAGAUAGGGCAGAGACUUGGCUAAAGCUGCUUCCCCUUGAGCCUCCGGAAUUGUUUUGGGGCCUUGGGGCCGUUGCUGCUGUGGAGACAAUGAGAGGGAGGUUUCCGAGGGCUGGCACUGCGUCCCUGCCAGGGCCCCCACCUCCUGGGACAGGCUGGGGUCUGCAAACCAGAGUGUCCUGCUGGGGGUCUGGCCCGGGCUUGUCUGCCUCCCGCCCCGAGGCUGGGGCUGAGGAAGGUGCUGGAGACCAGGGAGGAGGAGAGGCAGAGGCCCCUCCUGCUGGGCUGCAGGACCCAUGGGGCCACCUGACACAAGCCUUCUGGCUCGGCAGCAGCAACAGGGCAGGAGGGAGGGGCACGACCGACCGGGGUCACAGGUGGAAGCCCCACCCUCCACCGGGCAGCCAGAGUGCCUUCAAGAAAUGCGGAUCUAAGCCUUUCUCUUUUGUGCUUACGUGGAGCCCAAACUGCAUGAUGAGCCCCAGGUCUCCCGCCCCAACUGCACCUCUAAAGCAAACCCUGUGUGCUCAAUCCAUCGGCCUUUGCUGCUUCUCCACGCACAGCUCCCUGCAGCGGGCGAUUUCCAAACGGCCCCUCCGGCACCGCCACUCUCUUGGUUUGGGCUCCUCUAAAAGCCGAGUGUGAGAUACACGGCUUUGCUGUCGGACUUCCUGAGUUCAAACCCACUUUUACUGCUGUGGGACCUCGAGCAGGUCACAGCGCCCUUGAGCUACAGUGUCCUCAGCUAUAACAUAGGAACGACAAUAUCUACCAUGUAAGGUGUUUAUGAGGAUCAAAUGUACACCCAGAAGGGAACGCAUAUGCCAGCCUGAUGCUGGACGCAGUUAGCUGUGUCCCUCGCGAUGCCGGCUGCCCCCCCCUCCAGGCCCCGCUGCCCUGGUUUCGCUUAUGCUACCCAGCAGCCUGGCCCGCUGUGGGCAACGCGGGUGUGCCCUGUCCCCGCACACCAGCAGCCCCUCCCCCACUGCGCUGCACAGAGUGGAGACAGACUUUGUGGAAACACAAAGGGAAGAGCUGACAUCGCAUACCACACAGCAGAACUUGUGCUUCGAAAUUCCCAUGGGCUGCUUCUGUCUCCCCAAAUCGCUCUCCUGACCCAGCUGCCUUUCUCACGCGGGCCAGCCGAGCUGCAGCCCAGCCCCCGCUUCACUCCUCCACGCGUAUCCCCGGCCUUGCCUUCUGUGCUCUCCCCACCUGCUACGGUUGAGUUUGGUCCCUCCAAAAUUUAUCUGUUGAAGUCCCAACCCUCAGCACCUCUGAAUGUGAUCUUGCUUAGAAAUAGGGUUGUUGCAGAUGCUAAUGAGUCAAGAUGAGGCUAUACCAAAGGAGGGCGGGCCCUAAUCCAAAUGACAGGGGUCCUUAUGCAAAGGGAGAAACUGGGGCACAGAGACAGACGUGCACACAGGGAGAGCACCACGUGAGGACCGGAGUUCCGCUGUCACAAGCCAAGGAACUACCAGGAGCCAGGACAGAGGCUGCAGCGGGUCCCCCUCGCGCCCGCUGAGGGAGCAUGGCCCACUGACACCUUGAUCUUGGACUUCCAUCCUCCAGAACCUCGAGGCAGUCAGUUUCUGUUGUGUGAGGCACCCAGUUUGUGGGCUUGUUACCACAGCCCUAGCAAACUAAUACGUUACCUAAAGGGGCCAGGUUCGUUCUUCUGCUACAAAUAUCUUCUCCUGUCCUUGUCUUCUAACCCAGCCUUGGUUGCUGCGUUAUGUGUCUGUAUUUCUCUACUCUCUGGACUGUGAACUCCUUGGAGGCAGAGCCCGUGUCAUUCUCCCUGUUGUAUCUUCAGGGCCAUGGGAGUCACUCAGGACAGGUUUGCUGGAGACUUCCUGAAUGAGUUCGCUUUGAGGCUCGCCCUGCAAGGGUGGGCCAGAUCUGGACAGGCAACUCCGCCAAGCGAAGGCAUUCCAGGUUCCAGACGUGAGCAAAGGUGCAGAAUGUGGCAGGGAAGAGCAGGCUGGGAAAGGUUAAGUGGCUUGCAGUCGGCUGGGGUGUAGACACUGGUAGUGGGGAGAGGUAGGGAGGGCCCAGACGGUGGGGAAAUGUGAUGCCAGGGUACAGGGAUUUGAGAAUGCGUUGAGUUGGGUAGGCAGUGGGCUGUGGGGAGACACGGAAAGGACAAUAGCAGGGCUCUGGGAAGAAGGUUGCUCGGCUGCAGAAUAGACCAAACAUGGGGACACUGGGGAGGUCUCUGCUGGGGCCACAGUUCCGGUGAGAGAUGACGAAGGCUUGAGUCCCGUUGGGUUUGAGGAUGGAGACAAGAUAAGAGACAUUUAAGAAGAAAUGCCAGCCUGAUGACUGACGUGGAGGUAUUUUCCCCUUUGAGGUUCCUGCCUCCAAGCUCCUCCUCCUUCUAAAGAUGCCACGCUGAGAAUUUUCAUCCUGUCUGCAGUGACAUAUAGAUCACCCCACCCCCCUUCCCUCUCUGACAGCUGACAGUUUUGGUGAGAGAGCAAAGGAACCAGCUGCCCCACCCCAGCCUGCUGAGGUUUCUGGUUCACAAUUUGCAAUGUCAAUUCAUGGAAGCAGGUGAUUUUUCACCUUUUUAAAUAUUAAUUUUUCAUUCUCACUCAUGGAUAAUAUGAGUUAACUGUAUAAAAAAAUCUGAAAAUACAGUGGCAUUGGAUCUUCAGGGGAAAAUUGCGUAUAGUAAAAAGUGGCCCUUGAUAAUCCCUUAUGUAGAAUGACCUGGAAUAUUAGAAAUUCAAAAGACAAAGAUUACAUUGUUUAAUUUUCUUUACGUUUUGACUGUGACCUCCUUUUCCCUGGAACAUCGAAGGUCAACAUCUAUUUGGAAGUGGGGCGAGAUGACAGGGUUUGGAGGUGGGGCAUGGCUGAAUCAAAUGCUUGUUGGGUGUGAGUCCACUAUCCGGAUAAAUCAAAGGAGAAAAUAUAAAUCACCUGAAAUCUUUCUCCCACUCUUAUUUUUUGGUGAAUAUCAUCAAUCCAGUCUUUUUAAUUUAUUUUUUCUAAUGCAUGUUAAAAGCUAGACUCAGUGGGCAGACUCAUGUAAUAGCUUUAUUUUUCUGAGAACAGUAUCUUUCUCUCUGGCUUUCCUCUCCUUCCUCCCUAAUGAUGUUAUCUUGAGCAGAUCUUACUGCUUGGUGUGUGUGUGUGUGUGUGUGUGUGUGUGUGUGUGUGUGUGUGUAUGUGUUGGGGAGAGUAUGUCAGAUAUCAAUGAAGAGUCUUAUUUUCAAUUGUUUAAAACAAGAGUCUGCCAAAUAAAGUGUCCUUGGGAGCCCCAGUUUAUAGCCAGUCCGUCAGAAGCACAGCUCAUUAUCUAGGCCUUGGGACUGAUGUCUGAAGUGGGGGCAGUCUUGUGGGACUGAGUCCUCAACCUGUGGGAUAUGUCACUGUCUCCAGGCAGGUACUGUCAAAAUAGAACUGAAUCAUCGGAUUCCCAGCUGGUGCCCGAUGGAAAAAGAAUUUAUUGUUGGCACAAAGCCAAGCUUUUGAUGGUUUUCUGUGGGCCUCCCUCCCUGGGGUGGGAAGGGCCCUUAUCCUGCACCAAGGCUUGGUGAUAGGCAGUGGACUCUGGUCCUUGGGGUUUAGGCUGAGCAGUGCUGUCUUGGCAUCCUGUGCCUUCUGCUCUGAGGCUACUGCCGUGCCCAUGGCUGCUGUAGAGACAGGAGCAGUGCUGGGCACUGAUGGGUCACAGUGUUUACAUCAUGAUUGUCCAGCAAACUGUCAUCAGGUGCCCAAGUUUUACAGCUCAACAGCAUGAUUUUGUCAUAUUCUAACAUGCAAAUGAGUUGCCUACACAUUACGUACCCUUUAGGUUUUAGCAGUAAUUUGCUUUUGUACCUAAAUGCAGGCACGUGCCACCUGACAUCCACAGUCAGCUUCUGCUGGGUCAGAAGCUGUAACACGUUUGAUAUUGUCAUUGUCAUUUGUUCACUACAGCGCUUCCAGGAAAAACAAUUCCACGUAAUCUAUGCUUUAAUUUUUUUAAAGAGUGCUUUUAACCCUCAAAAAGAAAAAUCAGCUUGUUUUGCAUAUAAGAACUGUUUUUUUAAUACUAAUAAAUCAAGCACUACCCAUGGGAAAAACAAAAAGAAUGUGUUGUUGGUGGGAAAAGAUCCCCACAUACUUUGGUAACCAGAGGUGAAGAAUUCCGUCGUAAGCGGGAGGGCAGGAAAAACACUUUGGUUUUUCUUAUCUCUUAUGGAGUGGGAUUCCCACCAAAACAGCUGAAGCCAACAGAUGAAACAUUAGACAAACCCAAAUUAAAAAACAAUCUCCAAAAUAAUUGGCCCAGACUCAUCAAAAGCAUCAAUGUCAUAAAAGACUGAAGAAUUAUUUUAGACUAAAGGAGAUUAAAGAGACAUGGCAACCAAAUGAAAUACAUGAUCCUAGAUCAGACCUUGGAUAUGAGGGGAACAUUGCUAUAAAAGAUGCUAUUAGGGGCACUUAGUGAAAUGUGGAUCUGGCCUCAGGAUUGGAUAAUAGCAUUAUGUCAAUGUCAAAUUUCAUGAAUUUGAUAAGUAGCGUGGUCAUGUAAGACCACAUAUCUUUUUUCUUAGGAAAUACAUGUUAAAAUAUUGGAGGUAAUGAUGUAUGCAACUUACUCUCAGAUGGUUAAGGAAAACCAGGUGUACAUAUAUAGAGAGAGCUAGAAAGUGACAAAGCAAAAUUGACAAUUGCUAACAGUUGGGAAGGUGGGUGAAGGGUAUAUGGGAGCUCUUUGUACCAUCCCUGCGAUUCUUCUGCAAGCUUGAAAUUAUUUCAAAACUAAAAGUUAAAAAAAAUCCAGGCCAAUCCAAAUCAGAACUUCAGUCUCUAGGAUAAAAUAUUUG